rnacentral:rRNA from 1 species
GACGAACGCUGGCGGCGUGCCUAAUACAUGCAAGUAGAACGCUGAAGGAGGAGCUUGCUUCCCUGGAUGAGUUGCGAACGGGUGAGUAACGCGUAGGUAACCUGCCUGUUAGCGGGGGAUAACUCUUGGAAACGAUAGCUAAUACCGCAUAACAGUAGAUAUCGCAUGAUAUCUACUUGAAAGGUGCAAUUGCAUCACUACCAGAUGGACCUGCGUUGUAUUAGCUAGUUGGUGAGGUAACGGCUCAACAAGGCGACGAUACAUAGUCGACCUGGGAAGGUGGUCGGCCAAACUGGGACUGGGACACGGGCCAGACUCCUGCGGGGAGGAGCAAGAAGGGAUCUUCGGGAAUGGGCCGAAGGCUGACCGAGCAAAGCCGCGGGAGUGGAGGAGGGUUUCGGAUCGUAAAGCUCUGUUGUAAGGGAAGAACGAGUGGGGGAGGUGAAAGUGCACGCUGUGACGGUAUCUUACCAGAAAGGGACGGCUAACUACGUG